rnacentral:rRNA from 1 species
AGUCACGAGUUUGAUCAUGGCUCAGGAUGAACGCUAGCGGCAGGCUUAACACAUGCAAGUCAGGGGUAGGUUACUUCGGUAAUUGAGACCGGCGCACGGGUGCGUAACGCGUAUACAAUCUACCUUUUACAGAGGGAUAGCCCAGAGAAAUUUGGAUUAAUACCUCAUAGUAUUUUUGAAUCGCAUGAUUUGAUUAUUAAAGUUCCAACGGUAAAAGAUGAGUAUGCGUCCCAUUAGCUAGAUGGUAAGGUAACGGCUUACCAUGGCUACGAUGGGUAGGGGUCCUGAGAGGGAGAUCCCCCACACUGGUACUGAGACACGGACCAGACUCCUACGGGAGGCAGCAGUGAGGAAUAUUGGACAAUGGGCGCAAGCCUGAUCCAGCCAUGCCGCGUGCAGGAAGAAGGUCCUAUGGAUUGUAAACUGCUUUUAUACAAGAAGAAACACUCCCUCGUGAGGGAACUUGACGGUACUGUAUGAAUAAGGACCGGCUAACUCCGUG